CUUAUGCAGGUUUAUCAGAUUGUGUCAGAAACUUGCCUUAAACUCAGUGCCUCAGUUUUGCAGAGGUUUGUGGCUAAUCUGAAGUGGAGGGGCUCAGAUGGCCUAGUAUACAGGAGGAGACUCAGGUUCAGAUCUGUCGUUGCCUGCUCUCAUCCCCUCUCAAGGCACCAAAAGGACAAAAUAAACCUCAUAAGUCCAGAACAAAGACUCUGAUUCCUCCUCUGUGGUUAAUGGGAACAAUCACCUGGCUCUAACCGUGACUAACCUGCUCACAAAUCCACCUGAAAGAGGCUGACGUUUUGUCUAAUCCUCACCUUGUUUGAAACCCAGGAGAGCGUCUCCCCGGGGAUCUACGGUGACUAACCGCCAGCCCGGCAGGGGCCAAAAACCCGCCAGUGUGGACCUUUUCAGCGCGUUAAAGAGCAGACACGAGGCCGAGGUGAGGGAGCAGGAGCGAGCGAGGAGGAGCACAGAUAACGCUGCGGCUGUCACACUCCUGAAGGGGUCGAUAAUGGAGGCCGAGGGCACUGGAGAGACGUCGGCCGUGUCCAUUUGUCCGUCCCCUGGAGGGCAGAGCUGGAUCCGAGUCAAAGUUUUAGAUCGCUGCCACUGAGAUGGCAUUAACUCCCCGUCUCCUGGGCCGCCAGCGUGAAUCAUUUAUUAACAGAAACCUGCGACGGACGUUUCAAAUGUCAGAUCACGUUAGGAGCAAGUCCCCAGAUCAUUCCAGGCAACAAAAAAAGGUAGCUGGGUGGCACUUUGUCAGGACGAGUGCUUACCUCAUGCUGCAAAAAAAAAAAAGUCACAGCUGUGCUGCUCUGCUAAGGUGCACGAAAGAGGGCUGCUUCUGCAUUCAAGAUAGCUGUAGGAGCAAAUCUGUGUCUGUUAGAACACACAGAUCAUAAAUAGUAAAGCAAUGUUUGUUGGCUUUGAAGAUGAUCUGAAGUGGGGUUGGUUAAGACGUAUAAAUAAAUUUACAAAGGAGAUAAAGAGGAA